rnacentral:misc_RNA from 1 species
CCGAGAUUCAUGAAGAUAUGGCUUUCCAAUUUUUACGAGGUUGUUUUUUGCCUCAAGCUUGGCACGGUACUGUCUCCUCCUGAGAAUUGCAUUGUACUGUUUUGCAUUGACAAAAAUGGGUUCAUCUUUUGUAAGUUCAAGGGGUAGUGGCAACCGAGAAGAAGCCAUUCCAUACAUCUGAGGAUGAUGAAUCAUUGCCUGUUGUCCAUAAGCAGCUAGUAAGCCCCCAAAAUAUGGUUCUACAAAAUGGACGGGAACGCCAGCAAUGGACCGGCCGUAGUCAACUUGUGAAGGGAAGAUAAAAUCCUGAGUUCCCAUUGAUGGUGCUAAUUUAGUGUGACCUCCCUCAGCCUUUCCACAAGUUCCAUUAAAUCCUUCUCCCAUGCUAGCUACUUCAGGGUAAGAUUGACCAGUAGACUGAGUUGAAGAAGAAUCCUGGUCUUGAAAUUGAAAAGUUGAUUUCUUGGCACCAUGAAAAUUCUGUUGUGGAACCCCCAUCUUCAAGCAUAAACCUUCAGAUAAAGAUGACUGUUGGACUGUUGAUAAAGCAGAAAUCCCUAAUGGUUCGCAACCAAUAAUGUGUGGAGAUGUUUAAUGGGCAGAAUUGAUACCAGAAUCUUUCUUACGCUACUUUUGGGAUUUGGUAAAGUGCAAAGAAACAAUAAGUGGGAAUUAAUGUUGCCGAGAAACAAUAAGUGGGAAUUAAUGUUGCCUUGGUUUUGUGAUUAUCUCCUUCUCCUCUCUCUCUCUCUUAAAAGAAAACACUCGCUACCUUGUUCUAGCUCAUUUAUAGGUACCAAAACUAAACCCUGCUUCUGGUUGCACCUGAGAAUCUGUCUCUCUUUCCUUUUCACCCUCAGCUGUACCAGUACCACUACCACC